GGAUAACUUACCCUUAGGACUGGGAUAACUCUGGGAAACUGGGGAUAAUACUGGAUAUUAGGCUAUGCCUGGAAUGGUUUGCCUUUGAAAUGUUUUUUUCGCCUAAGGAUAGGUCUGCGGCUGAUUAGGUCGUUGGUGGGGUAAUGGCCCACCAAGCCGAUGAUCGGUACGGGUUGUGAGAGCAAGGGCCCGGAGAUGGAACCUGAGACAAGGUUCCAGACCCUACGGGGUGCAGCAGGCGCGAAACCUCCGCAAUGUACGAAAGUGCGACGGGGGGAUCCCAAGUGUUAUGCUUUUUUGUAUGACUUUUCAUUAGUGUAAAAAGCUUUUAGAAUAAGAGCUGGGCAAGACCGGUGCCAGCCGCCGCGGUAACACCGGCAGCUCGAGUGGUAGCUGUUUUUAUUGGGCCUAAAGCGUUCGUAGCCGGUUUGAUAAGUCUUUGGUGAAAGCUUGUAGCUUAACUAUAAGAAUUGCUGGAGAUACUAUUAGACUUGAAGUCGGGAGAGGUUAGAGGUACUACCGGGGUAGGGGUGAAAUCCUAUAAUCCUGGGAGGACCACCUGUGGCGAAGGCGUCUAACUGGAACGAUCUUGACGGUGAGUAACGAAAGCCAGGGGCGCGAACCGGAUUAGAUACCCGGGUAGUCCUAACUGUAAACGAUGUGGACUUGGUGUUGGAAUGGCUUUGAGUUGUUCCGGUGC
rnacentral:rRNA from 1 species